UACGUAGGGUGCGAGCGUUGUCCGGAAUUAUUGGGCGUAAAGGGCUCGUAGGCGGUUUGUCGCGUCGGGAGUGAAAACCUUGGGCUUAACUCAGGGCUUGCUUUCGAUACGGGCAGACUAGAGGUAUGCAGGGGAGAACGGAAUUCCUGGUGUAGCGGUGAAAUGCGCAGAUAUCGGGAGGAACACCAAUGGCGAAGGCAGCUAUCUGGACAGAGUCUGACGCUGAGGCGCGAAAGCUAGGGGAGCAAACAGG
rnacentral:rRNA from 1 species